CAGUCGCCACGGUAAUACGUAGGUCCCGAGCGUUGUCCGGAUUUAUUGGGCGUAAAGCGAGCGCAGGCGGUUUGAUAAGUCUGAAGUUAAAGGCUGUGGCUCAACCAUAGUUCGCUUUGGAAACUGUCAAACUUGAGUGCAGAAGGGGAGAGUGGAAUUCCAUGUGUAGCGGUGAAAUGCGUAGAUAUAUGGAGGAACACCGGUGGCGAAAGCGGCUCUCUGGUCUGUAACUGACGCUGAGGCUCGAAAGCGUGGGGAGCGAACAGGAUUAGAUACCCCAGUAGUCCCUGUCUCUUAUACC
rnacentral:rRNA from 1 species